rnacentral:rRNA from 1 species
UACGUAGGGGGCGAGCGUUGUCCGGAUUUAUUGGGCGUAAAGAGCGUGUAGGCGGCCAGGUAGGUCUGCUGUGAAAACUCGAGGCUCAACCUCGAGACGUCGGCGGAAACCAUCUGGCUAGAGUCCGGAAGAGGAGAGUGGAAUUCCUGGUGUAGCGGUGAAAUGCGCAGAUAUCAGGAAGAACACCCGUGGCGAAGGCGGCUCACUGGACUGGUAUUGACGCUGAGGUGCGAAAGCGUGGGGAGCAAACAGG